AAUCGGUCCUACUAAAAUACGCCUGCCGACGCCUGCCAAGAUUGGUGCAUUCCAUAUAGUACAGAGGUCUUAGACGAAGCAGUCCAAGUUUUUUUGUCAAAUGUUUAAAUGAAUAAAUGAUUGAAUUGUU